rnacentral:lncRNA from 1 species
CUAAUCACCUAAACUAAUUGCCUAACUAAUCACCUAAACUAAUUACCUAACUAAUUAAUCACUUAAACUAACUUAAAAAAAAAAAGAGGAAAGAGAGUGUACCUUAGAGGGAGCGCAGAAGAGUUUGGGAGGAAUGAACGAGGCAGCCUUGUUCUCGGCGUCUCAAUAUAUAGAAAACGUUUUGUCGUAACGCGACGUAAUAUUACGACGAAGUUACCAGGCCCGCUUUUUUCCAUUUACGACUAAGUUACCAUGCGCGCGUUUUUCGGUUUACGACAAAAUUACGUCGAAACGUCCGUUUACGACGAGUUACCAGGCCCGCGUUUUUCCAUUUACGACGAAGUUACCAGGCCCGCGUUUUUCUAUUUACGACGAAAUUACGUGGAAUAGAUUUAACCAUUUACGACGAUUUUACAACGCUUAACCCUAAACACAGAGAAUGAAAUCCCUAAACCCCAAAGUCACAUAUCAUCUAACAUCAUAUCUUUCUCUACUAC